GACGAACGCUGGCGGCGUGCCUAAUACAUGCAAGUAGAACGCUGAAGGAGGAGCUUGCUUCUCUGGAUGAGUUGCGAACGGGUGAGUAACGCGUAGGUAACCUGCCUGGUAGCGGGGGAUAACUAUUGGAAACGAUAGCUAAUACCGCAUAAUAUUGACUAUUGCAUGAUAGUCAGUUGAAAGGUGCAACUGCACCACUACCAGAUGGACCUGCGUUGUAUUAGCUAGUUGGUGGGGUAACGGCUCACCAAGGCGACGAUACAUAGCCGACCUGAGAGGGUGAUCGGCCACCCUGGGACUGAGACACGGCCCAGACUCCUACGGGAGGCAGCAGUAGGGAAUCUUCGGCAAUGGACGGAAGUCUGACCGAGCAACGCCGCGUGAGUGAAGAAGGUUUUCGGAUCGUAAAGCUCUGUUGUAAGAGAAGAACGAGUGUGAGAGUGGAAAGCUCACACUGUGACGGUAGCUUACCAGAAAGGGACGGCUAACUACGUG
rnacentral:rRNA from 1 species